AUGAACGCUGGCGGCGUGCUUAACACAUGCAAGUCGAACGUAAGCAUUUAGAACAGAUUACUUCGGUUUGAAGUUCUUUAUGACUGAGUGGCGGACGGGUGAGUAACGCGUAUCCAACCUGCCCAUCACUUGGGGAUAACCUUGCGAAAGUAAGACUAAUACCCAAUGACGUCUCUAGAAGACAUCUGAAGGAGAUUAAAGAUUUAUCGGUGAUGGAUGGGGAUGCGUCUGAUUAGCUUGUUGGCGGGGUAACGGCCCACCAAGGCGACGAUCAGUAGGGGUUCUGAGAGGAAGGCCCCCCACAUUGGAACUGAGACACGGUCUAAACUCCUACGGGAGGCAGCAGUGAGGAAUAUUGGUCAAUGGACGAGAGUCUGAACCAGCCAAGUAGCGUGCAGGAUGACGGCCCUAUGGGUUGUAAACUGCUUUUAUAAGGGAAUAAAGUGAGUCUCGUGAGACUUUUUACAUGUACCUUAUGAAUAAGGACCGGCUAAUUCCGUG
rnacentral:rRNA from 1 species